GACGAACGCGUGGCGGCGUGCCCUAAGUACACUGGCGAAGUCGAGCGAGCGGAACCAACAGAUUUACUUCGGUAAGUGGACGUUGGGAAAGACGGACGCGGCGGAGUGGGUGAGUAACACGUGGGGAACCUGCCCCUAAGUCUGGGAUACCAUUUGGAAACAGGUGCUAAUACCGGAUAAUAAAGCAGAUCGCAUGAUCAGCUUUUGAAAGGCGGCGUAAGCUGUCGCUAAGGGAUGGCCCCGCGGUGCAUUAGCCAGUUGGUAAGGUAACGGCUUACCAAGGCGACGAUGCAUAGCCGAGUUGAGAGACUGAUCGGCCACAUUGGGACUGAGACACGGCCCAA
rnacentral:rRNA from 1 species